rnacentral:rRNA from 1 species
CCUACGGGGGGCUGCAGUGGGGAAUAUUGGACAAUGGGCGAAAGCCUGAUCCAGCCAUGCCGCGUGUGUGAAGAAGGCCUUCGGGUUGUAAAGCACUUUCAGUGGGGAAGAAAGCCUUGGGGCUAAUACCCUCGAGGAAGGACAUCACCCACAGAAGAAGCACCGGCUGAACUCCGUGCCAGCAGCCGCGGUAAUACGGAGGGUGCGAGCGUUAAUCGGAAUUACUGGGCGUAAAGCGCGCGUAGGCGGUCUGAUAAGCCGGUUGUGAAAGCCCCGGGCUCAACCUGGGAACGGCAUCCGGAACUGUCAGGCUAGAGUGCAGGAGAGGAAGGUAGAAUUCCCGGUGUAGCGGUGAAAUGCGUAGAGAUCGGGAGGAAUACCAGUGGCGAAGGCGGCCUUCUGGACUGACACUGACGCUGAGGUGCGAAAGCGUGGGUAGCAAACAGGAUUUGAUACCCCUGUAGUC